rnacentral:lncRNA from 1 species
AUACGUGAAUAAUUUUUAUAACGUAAAAGCUAAAUAAAUUUAUACAUACUUAAAUACAGUAAGCCAAAAUAUUUAAUUUAAUUUACAAUAACAAGAGUGCCCCCGAAUAAACAAAAGUAAAGAGGACUGUGAACCUACGGUUUGGAAAAUGCAGAUCCCACUGUAGUCCUCGAUGAGAUCAGCUAUCUACAGUCUAUACUGAACCUGAAAUGGGUGGAAAGGAGGGUGGUGAGAUUAUAAAAUCCCAAUGAGUAAACAAACAUCAUCAUAAACAUCUAGAGUUGAGUACAUGGAGACAAUAAAGUAAAUCAUCAUAAACUGGGUUAUAGCAUUAGAACACAUUUUGUUCAAAACACGUAAAGAGGCUUAUGAAUCUCAUAAAAAUCUAGGCUUGUGCCAUAAAUCCAUUCUCGGGGACACCUUGGCCGAGGCAUCCUACCGAGACCGCCAAGGCUAUUAAAAUUCACAUUUCACAUAAAUCAUGUUUUUGUUUUGAAAACAUAGCCGUUCCUUGGCGUUGGCUGAGUUCCCCCUCACGUGGUGGUUUAGCGUGAAGUGAACCCUAAACUUUACCCCAGGAGAUACCCUACGCGCCUCUCCGUUCGAGGUAAGAAUAUAAUGGGGUUUACCGUGCCCCUCUAAAAGGCUGGUCCACAGAAACCCCCUACUGCAGUGAUUAAUUAAUAUAUAAUCCACCAUAUAAUAAAACUCAAUAACAUGAUAUGGCAAUUUUGUAAUUCGUAGUUUUUCAAGGUAACCAAACAAUUCGCAUUUCAAUACAAUUGCCAACUAGCCAAUCAUGCUCGAUUUAUCAUAAGCCAGUUAAUUUAAACAAUCAAAUUGCCACAAUUAACAGUCUCCGUGUACUCUAUUUUUCAAAAUCACUAUUAAUUUCAAAACAAUUUAUAAUUUAAUUUCAUUGAAACUCAUUUAUUCAUAAAACAUGAAAAUUUAUCUUUUUAAAUUCCUUUUUCCAUAGAAUUCAUGAAAGCAUUUAAAAACCACCCUAGAUAAUUAAAAUGACAGUAAGUUUACUCACAAUGUCUAGAAUGCAGACUUUCGAAGCACUCUGUCUACUGGUCCUCGGAUGCAAUUUCCUUGCCUUUAUCGGAGGACUCACCACCUUGACACAGUACAAAAUCGAGAGUUUCACCAAGUUGGUACUAAAUCAAAAUUAAACUAAUUUAGACUACCAAUGCAUGAUAUGGAAUGCAAAAAUGCACUGGUAACUAUCUAAACCCGGUAUUGGCCUAAUUCGUCUUAUCACCCGAUUAAAUUCCUAACGGGUCCGUUUAAACUCCAAUUUAAUUCUUUUCAGUUUCUAUACCUCAAUUGCACCCAAAUUAACUUAAUGUCCCUCAGUGUGGUGCAAAUUAUCAGUCUCAACAGUAAAUUACGAAAAUACCCCUAGUGGGUAAAAAUUCGUAUUUUUGCUCCGAAAAUUCCCAUUAUUUUUCUAGGCUCAUAAUUCAUCAUUCCUUAACCAAUUCUCCUAGAAUAAAAUCAAACUCAUCCUCACUCACUACAUGGUUAAUUCAGCCAUUAAUGGUUGGGGGAGAAAAUAAUUUCUUUUCUUGUUGUUUUCUUUCUAAAUAUGCUAAACUAAAUAAAAACACUAACAUAAAUUAAAAUCAAAUAAAACCAACAACUUUCUCUCUCCUAACCCAUUUUUUUCAGAAUUUAAUUCAUCAUGAAAACAUGUAAUUUAAUCAUGGAUAAUAAAGAGAAAUGCUUGGGAAUAAGAAAACUCAAAGCUUAAUAGAAAAAAUCUCACCCUUUUCACUUAAUUUCCUUGAAAAUUCACACUUUUUCUUUGAUUUUCUCUCUCUAGGGUUUUAUUUUUAUUUUCUCUCUCUUCUUGCUGGUUUGG